CUUUAAAUCAGUAAUGAGAUUUAAUUUUACCAAUUACAUCAUAAUUUCGUUUUCAUCUCAAUAUUGUGUUAACCUACAUUUAAAUUGCAACCUCCUAGUGCAAGGGUUAGGUCUAUUUUUAAAUUCAAAAAUUGUGAAAUGUAAACCAAUGUGAAUUUACUCAAUGUAUACGUGAAAGAGAAAAGGAAAGAAUAAUCGGUUUCAGACAUAUGACAUAUUCAAUUCUACCGAGAUUAAGAAUUUUUUUUCUUAUUUUUUAAUCUGAAGUUGGUACAAACGCCAUAGUUGAUACGGUGUAUUUGAUUAUUCAAAGUCAAACUUCGCCAGGAAUCCUCACAGACAAGCCUUAUAAUGCUAGAGGAAAAACUUCAAUUC
rnacentral:lncRNA from 1 species